rnacentral:tRNA from 1 species
GCGGCUCAGUGGAACAGCGGAACAGUAUUUGCCUUGCAUGCAGAAGGUGCUAGGUUCAAUUCCUGGCAUCUCCA